UACGAAGGGGGCUAGCGUUGCUCGGAAUCACUGGGCGUAAAGGGCGUGCAGGCGGUUUGUUAAGUUCAGGGUGAAAGCUCCCGGCUCAACUGGGAGAGGUCCUUGGAUACUGGCAGACUUGAGGAGGGUAGAGGAGAGUGGAAUUCCCGGUGUAGUGGUGAUAUGCGUAGAUAUCGGGAGGAACACCAGUGGCGAAGGCGGCUCUCUGGGCCCUACCUGACGCUGAGACGCGAAAGCGUGGGGAGCGAACCGG
rnacentral:rRNA from 1 species